GACGAACGCUGGCGGCAUGCCUAAUACAUGCAAGUAGAACGCACAGUUUAUACUGUAGCUUGCUACACCAUAGACUGUGAGUUGCGAACGGGUGAGUAACGCGUAGGUAACCUGCCUGGUAGCGGGGGGUAACUAUUGGAAACGAUAGCUAAUACCGCAUAAUAUUGAUUAUUGCAUGAUAAUUGAUUGAAAGAUGCUAUUGCAUCACUACCAGAUGGACCUGCGUUGUAUUAGCUAGUAGGUGAGGUAACGGCUCACCUAGGCGACGAUACAUAGCCGACCUGAGAGGGUGAUCGGCCACACUGGGACUGAGACACGGCCCAGACUCCUACGGGAGGCAGCAGUAGGGAAUCUUCGGCAAUGGACGAAAGUCUGACCGAGCAACGCCGCGUGAGUGAAGAAGGUUUUCGGAUCGUAAAGCUCUGUUGUAAGAGAAGAACGGGUGUGAGAGUGGAAAGUUCACACUGUGACGGUAUCUUACCAGAAAGGGACGGCUAACUACGUG
rnacentral:rRNA from 1 species